rnacentral:rRNA from 1 species
CGGAGGGAUCAUUACAGAGUUGCAAAACUCCAAAUCCCAUUUGUGAAUAUAUACCAUAGUUUCCUGUUGCCUCGGCGGGCGCGGGAGUCGACGCCCUCGUCGGGCGGCGGCGACCGCCCCCGGGCCCCUGGGCCGCCCGCCGGAGCGUACAGCACACUUAUACCCGAACCAACUGUACGAGCAGCGAGAAAGCCGCCGGACGAGCUCUGAGUGGGAUAGAAAACCAGUCAAAACUUUCAACAACGGAUCUCUUGGUUCUGGCAUCGAUGAAGAACGCAGCGAAAUGCGAUAAGUAAUGUGAAUUGCAGAAUUCAGUGAAUCAUCGAAUCUUUGAACGCACAUUGCGCCCGCCAGCAUUCUGGCGGGCAUGCCUGUCCGAGCGUCAUUUCAACCCUCAAGCCCUGCGGCUUGGUGUUGGAGGCACUGUGGCACUCGCCGCAGUCCUCUGAAAAACAGUGGCGGGACCGCCAGCAGCGACCGAGCGCAGUACACAUCUCGCUCCGGAGCCGCCUGCGCCGUGGUGCCCACGCCGAAAAGCCCUGCUACCCAAGAGUUGACCUCGGAUCAGGUAGGAAUACCCGCUGAACUUAAGCAUAUCAAUAAGCGGAGGAAAAGAAACCAACAGGGAUUGCCUCAGUAGCGGCGAGCGAAGCGGCAACAGCUCAAAUUUGAAAUCUGG